CCUACGGGAGGCAGCAGUGGGGAAUUUUGGACAAUGGGGGCAACCCUGAUCCAGCAAUGCCGCGUGAGUGAAGAAGGCCUUCGGGUUGUAAAGCUCUUUUGUCAGGGAAGAAACGGUAGUAGCGAAUAACUAUUACUAAUGACGGUACCUGAAGAAUAAGCACCGGCUAACUACGUGCCAGCAGCCGCGGUA
rnacentral:rRNA from 1 species